rnacentral:rRNA from 1 species
AUUGAACGCUGGCGGCAGGCCUAACACAUGCAAGUCGAACGAGUGGCGGACGGGUGAGUAAUGUCUGGUAAACUGCCUGAUGGAGGGGGAUAACUACUGGAAACGGUAGCUAAUACCGCAUACCAUCGGAUGUGCCCAGAUGGGAUUAGCUAGUAGGUGGGGUAAAGGCUCACCUAGGCGACGAUCCCUCGCUGGUCUGAGAGGCUGACCAGCCACACUGGAACUGAGACACGGUACAGACUACUACGAGAGGCAGCAGUGGGGAAUAUUGCACAAGGGGAGAAAGCCAGAUGCAGCCAUGCCGCGUGUAUGAAGAAGGCUUGCGGGGUGUAAAGUACUUUCAGCGGGGAGGCGUUACCAACAGAAUAAGCACCGGCUAACUGCGUGCCAGCAGCCGCGGAAUUC